ACUAAAUUCUAACCAAAUUGCAAAUUUCGACAUGUUAUAAUGCCGUUUCCUGACCAUCAGAUUUCUGUCAAAUCUUCCCCAAAGUCCAGGAAAUGGCAUUUCAGAGACUCUAAAUUCAAAAAUUCUCCUGGGGGGCAUGCCCCCGGACCCCCCUAGACAAACCUCGCACCUGCGGCACUCGGCUCGUGCGUUCGGCCCUCGUUUAUCAAGUGUAACGUUAUAGGGGCGCAUAUUGGUUGACAGCCCACUGGCCCCUCCAGAAAAAUAGUACCCAGCACGCCACUG
rnacentral:lncRNA from 1 species